rnacentral:rRNA from 1 species
CUACGGGUGGCAGCAGUGGGGAAUAUUGGACAAUGGGCGCAAGCCUGAUCCAGCCACGCCGCGUGCAGGAAGAAGGUCUUCGGAUCGUAAACUGCUGUUGCGAGGGAAGAAAGGCCCCUGAAGAGGGGGAGAUGACGGUACCUCUUUAGAAAGCACCGGCUAACUCCGUGCCAGCAGCCGCGGUAAUACGGAGGGUGCAAACGUUGCUCGGAAUCACUGGGCGUAAAGCGCUCGUAGGCGGUUUGUCAAGUUAGGUGUGAAAUCCCCGGGCUUAACCUGGGACGUGCACUUAAAACUGGCAGGCUAGAGUCUGGGAGGGGAUAGCGGAAUUCCGGGUGUAGAGGUGAAAGUCGUAGAUAUCCGGAGGAACACCAGCGGCCGAGUCGGCGAUCUGGACAAGUACUGACGAUGAGGAGCGAAAGCGUGGGGAGCAACGAGGAUUAGAUACCCCAGUAGUC